rnacentral:lncRNA from 1 species
GUUGCUUGCGAUGAUCGGUGUAGUAACUGGAAUUGCUCAGUCCAUUGAUGAUAAGAGUAGAAGACAACGCCUGAUCAAGUGACAGUGGUAUCGAAUCUUUAUUUGCAUUCCUUUUUCUUUUUCUGGUGUAAUAAGAGAGAGACUCAGAGUUCACAUAUUUGCAGGAGGCAAGAUGAUAAGUUAGCAUUUGAGGGAAUUUUGUCAAGGGAAAAAGUUUUUUAUUUAUUUUCAAGCUGAGCUCAGUUGAACUGCGGCAAGAGAAAUUGGCAUUAUUAUUCUGGUAAAUUGUAAUGUUUGAGCUCUGUAAACAUUAGAAAAAUCGGCAGUCACUUGUUUGUCAUAUGCCCUUGUUCUGCAAGUGCCACAUUUCACUCUCAUUGUGAAGAUGGCCUAAAUUCCAAAAUUUGCUGCUUAAUUAUACGAAUGGUCAAACACAUGUGUACAUGAUUGGUUUGCUGCCCUUGUGUUUACUACUGUCACUGUGCCCUUGUGUUUACUACUGUCAAUUUCCUUUGCCUUUCUGCAUCAACAGGGUUGACCAUAAGUUCAAAUUGCAUGGCAAACAGGUUUUGCAAUCUGCUGCUGAGUACUGACAUGAGAUGAACUUGUAAUACCUGACACAAGAAAGUUCACCCGGCCAUUAAGAUUUCAGUCUGAUAUGACCACAGAAUGCCUAAAUUAACUUUCUUCCUUGUUGAUGCAGGCAUCAAAGAUCAAAGAAGCUUCUGCAAGGUCUAAGCAAAGCUGCCCAUCAUCCGAGCAGGCUCCCACAAUGUGCUUGUUAGCCCAAAGGCCCCCUAACUGAGGAGUGGUUCCGCAAAUCGCAGAAUGACAAGGAGGACAGGACGGGCAGGCGUGCCGCCGAACAAGAUCGGGCAUCGGAACAUAUUGCACAAGAUGUCGCGUGGGCGCGCGCCCUUCCAAGUUCGGAUCCCAGGUGCGUUUUGUCAAAGCGAAAUCCGAACGAUUCUCCUCUUUGGGUGCAUGGUAUUGGAGGCAAAGGCACCCAGCCAAGCACUCUGGCUGCGUACUCUCUGUGACUGAGAGGUCUCUGUUAUCUUAAUCUGAUGUGCGAGCAGCGCGUGCGCUAAUAGUAAUGCCUUCUUUCUGGGUCAAGUAGGUACAUAGCUGGAGGCGUCUCAGUGGAAGAGGAGGAUGCUGGUGCUGUAUAGAAUUCAAUGCAAAGCUGGCUGGCGGCGACGGAUUGUACGGAGACGGAGACGGGCAGCCAAGUCAGUCAAGCAUGCAUGCGCCUACCUGGCUCGCUCGGAAAAGCAGUGUAAAGGAAAAAAAAAGGGUAAAGCGCUUGCUUGCUUGCUGUAGGUGCUAGGCUUCCUUGGUUUUCUGGAUCCGAAUGAUGCUUUUUGGGAUGCUUCCAAACUUUGUUGGACCGCUCAUACUUCAUUUCGAUUCAAGGGCAAAACAUUUCCUAGCUUGCCAUUUCUUAUUUGGUGUUGUAGCUUGCCUUUUAAUUAGAACAAUUGGUGUCGUCCAUGCAUCAACAUAAGGAAAAGGCGAUCUGGAACGGCGCUUAGCCAUGCUGACACACACUACACCUAAU